UUAAAAUGACUCUCGGCAACGGAUAUCUCGGCUCUCGCAUCGAUGAAGAACGUAGCGAAAAGCGAUACUUGGUGUGAAUUGCAGAAUCCCGUGAACCAUCGAGUCUUUGAACGCAAGUUGCGCCCCAAGCCAUUAGGCCGAGGGCACGUCUGCAUGAGUGUCAC
rnacentral:rRNA from 1 species